UGGAUCUGAUUCGUGAAUACUGUCACCAUGUACCAAAGCUCUUAUAUCCUGGUCGAGUUGGAAGAGGGAAGCUCGAGUCCCAGUUACUUCAUGCAAUGGUGUUCUGUGUAUCAGGAAGUCCACUGGCCUGUGAAGACAAACAGGUGAUCCUCUCUGAGCACAGGACAGAGUGAAAAAUGAUAGACUAGAUCUCUGGAGGCAAACCAAAUAAUCAGCACACCCAGUCAGAGAUCCUGCUGUGAGCCUAUUUUUGGCCUAUGUUCAACUAUAAAGAGGAGGACUGACUCUA